ACAGCUGGCAUCUCUGAGACCGGAGUGAAUCAGGAAAGCGCAUUAGGUCUUGUCCAUAUUUUGAGGUCUGUUCUCCUUGAAGUGGCCUUCCCCUGUUACUGGUAUGAAGCCAUAUGGUCAAACAAAAGGUCUGCAGACACUUCUCCAGGAUACAAUUUGCAGUAAGACACUAAGGAGGAACGUUGCAUCUUGACUUCUAACUUCAAAAAAGGUUAUUUAUAUUCCCAAUUUCAUCAUAAGAUCACAGCCCAAUAAAUUAGUCCCUGCAUCAGGAAUGCUCAGCGUCGUCCAACGGUUCCUCCUGUAGGUCUGACCAGCUGGCACAGACAGUCUCCACGCAGUCGCACGCCGCUGGCUUGGAGGCAGCUCUGCGUUGGUGUUG